CUACGGAGGGUGCAAGCGUUACUCGGAAUCACUGGGCGUAAAGGACGCGUAGGCGGUUUCAUAAGUCAGGUGUGAAAGCCCACGGCUCAACCGUGGAACUGCACUUGAAACUGUGAUGCUAGAGUCUGGGAGAGGCAGAUGGAAUUGGUGGUGUAGGGGUAAAAUCCGUAGAGAUCACCAGGAAUACCGAUGGCGAAGGCGAUCUGCUGGAACAGUACUGACGCUGAGGCGUGAAAGCGUGGGGAGCAAACAGGAUUAGAAACCCUUGUAGUCC
rnacentral:rRNA from 1 species